rnacentral:rRNA from 1 species
AGCUCCAAUAGCGUAUAUUAAAGUUGUUGCAGUUAAAAAGCUCGUAGUUGAACUUUGGGCCUGGGCGGACGGUCUACCUAUGGUAAGCACUGUUGCGGCCGGGUCUUUCCUUCUGGCUAGCCCUCGGGCGAACCAGGACGAUUACUUUGAGGAAAUUAGAGUGUUCAAAGCAGGCCUUUGCUCGGAUAUAUUAGCAUGGAAUAAUAGAAUAGGACGCAUGGUUCUAUUUUGUUGGUUUCUAGGACCAUCGUAAUGAUUAAUAGGGACGGUCGGGGGCAUCAGUAUUCAGUCGUCAGAGGUGAAAUUCUUGGAUUGACUGAAGACUAACUACUGCGAAAGCAUUUGCCAAGGACGUUUUCA